UUUUACUACUGUGUAACUCAGGCAAGGGGCAAUGCCUGUAUUCAGGGCCAGGUCUGAUUUCUUUAUACUUCCUUACUGUUCAACCUGAACAAAGAAGUAAUAAUUGGCAAUGAAUGAAAUGAUGCAUUAAGUCACAAUGGACAAGGCGGGGCUUAAGUGUGAAGCAUGGCUUUAAGCAAGCAUCCCAGAACAUCCCCACCCAGGUAUAAAAACAGACCUUGGCCAGGCACGGUGGCUCAUACCUGUAAUCUCAACACUUUGGGAGGCCAAGGUGGGCAGAUCACCUGAGGUCGGGACUUUAAGACCAGCCUGACCAACAUGGAGAAACCCUGUCUCUACAAAAAACACAAAAUUAGCCUGGUGUGGUGGUGCAUGCCUAUAAUCCCAGCAAUUUGGGAGGCUGAGGCAGGAGAAUCGCUUGAACCUGGGAGGCGGAAGUUGCAGUGAGCCAAGAUCGCACCAUUGCACUCCAGCCUGGACAACGAGCCAGACUCCAUCUUGAAAAAAAAUAAAGACCUUAAGGUUCAUGAGAAUGCCUUCUCCAAGCAGCUAUUUUUAUGGGAACCAAAGGAUACUGAUCAGUAGCAAGGUUUGACCAGGUGGUCCUGGCUUGAGGAAGAUAAGAAGCCUUUCCUUCACAUGGGUCUAAGGAGCUCACCAUUUUUCUCAACAUCUGACCUGACAACUGGUUUCCCAGCAUUGGCCCCAAGAAAUACACCUGCCAUCUCCACCUGGAUUCUCCAGCCCUUAAAGCCACAGCAUUCCAUCUUCUUUCCCCAGCAAGAUGUAUGGGAUAACCUGUUUGCAGCAUCCUCAAAAGUCCUUGCAGGUAGGAGCACCUGAGGGAGAGGAAAAGACAGGCCAUGCCCAGCUCCAGUGAGUAACAUACGUGCACUUCCCCUGAAACAUCACAUCUCCAGGAAGCCUCCCUCAGACUGGAUGGGUUCCCCAAAGCACGUUGCCCUUAUCUCUAAAACAGCACAGAUUUACAAGGAACAUGGCAUUUUCUUCAUUUUAUCAUUGAGGCAAUUGAUGCUGAGGAGAUUAAAUAACUUGACAAAAGUCACCCAGCUGGUUAGUGGCAGAGCCGGCAUCUGAAGGUAGGCAUGUCUGAAGCCAAUGCCAUGCCUAUGUCUUUCCACAAAGCCCCACAGCAAACUCUGAAGCACACUGCGAUCCAGCAGGUGACUGAGUGAGAACACGCUGAGACCCGGGCCAGCUGCUCUCUGCCUCACUCUGUUCCUCCAGCCUGUGGCCCACUUCGGAGCCCACAAGGGGUUGUAUGCCAAACUUCUCACUUUCUAGUGUCAAGUUGCUUUCUUGGCACAUAGUAGAUAAUUAAUAACAAAUAAAGAAAGAGAAAAACUGUGGCAGAAAUGUGAAAAGACUCAAAUCAUUUGUCAUCCAGUAUCACUAAGAAUCAAAGAAAAGCAAAUUAAAAUCCUAACAAAAUACCAUCUCUGCCUAUCAAAUUGACUGGAGGCAAGUCAUUGGGUACAAUCUUUCUGAAAAGUGAUGUGGCAUUAUAUUUCAAGGGUUUUUUUUUAAUCAUACCCUUUGCUGAAUACUUGAUUAUUGUUUUAAAGACCUGGUUUAAAAUGUAUGGACAAAGAUAUUCAUCUCAACCUCCUUCACAAUUUUUUUUUUCAAAAAAAAGGAGGAGGGGGCAAUUUUCCAAAAUCUUACAAAUGAGUAAUGACAUAAAUUCAAAUGUUGAAAUAUUAAUUUUGCAGAAUUUUUAGUGACAUGGAAAAUUUACCACACUAGAACACUAAGGGAAAAAAGAAUUUCAUGAAUACAUACAAUUGUAUUACAGUAAACUCCUCAUUCUGCAUAGACAGAGUUUCCAGCUAGACCUUAAGCCAUGUUUACCCUUGGGAUUGAGAUAUGUCUGGAAAUGGCAAGUGGAAUGAUGGGAUGAACCUGGUGGAAUUAUCCUGGGAGAGAAGUCAUUAUCUGGAGACAAGAGACCAGGAAGACAAGCUUAACCCAGACACAAAGCUUCAUACACAGGCAGGGUGGGGUCAUUCUGAGGAAGACAAGGUACCUAUCCCUUAGUUCGUGGGGAGCUCAGAAUAUAUCUGAGCCCACUUGGGCUGCUGUUCAGAUUAUCUGUUCCUGUAUAACAAACUACCCCAAAUUUUCAUGACUUAAAACACCAAUUUAUUAUUUUCAUUCAUGGCUCUCUGAGCUAACUCAGCAAGGCAGUUCUCACUCAGGAUCUCUUAGGUGGCUGCUUGGGCUAGAGUCAUCUGAGGGCUCUGUCUAUCCAGGAUGACACACUCACAUGACUGCCAGUGGGUGCUGACUGUCCCUGCAGAGGGACUUUCAAAAGGAGUGCCGGCCAGGCGCAGUGGCUCACACCUGUAAUCCCAGCACUUUGGGAGGCCAAGGUGGGCAGAUCACUAGAGGUCAGGAAUUCAAGACCAGCCUGGCCAACAUAGUGAAGCACUGUCUCUACUAAAAAUACAAAAAAUGAGCCAGGCGUGGUGACAGGUGCCUGUAAUCUCAGCUACUUGGAAGGCUGCAGCAGGAAAAUGGCUUGAACCCAAAGGCGGAGGUUGCAGUGAGCCAAGAUCACACCACUGCACAUCAGCCUGGGCAACAAGAGUGGAACUCCAUCUCAAAAGAAAAAGGAGUGCCUACACAUGGCUAUAUGUGGACUCUCCAUAGGAAGUGACCCAAGAAUGAGCAUUCCAAGAGACCCAGGAGGAAUGGCAAGCCUUCUUACAACCUCACCUCAGAGAGCCUAGAACAUCUUUUUGGAUGCAUCUUUUUGGAUGCAUCUUUUUGGUAAAGUAAGUCGCUAAGACCAGCCCAGAGUCAAAGCGUAGGGGAUUCAAUUCCAUCUCCUGAUGUGAGGAGCUACAAGCCCAAGCUUGGAGGGAAGAGCUGGCGAGGGGCAGCCCUCCCUUGAGACUAUUUACCACAACCAUUUUCUAUAAAGAGCUCUGAAAACAUUGCUACAUAAGAAAAAAGCAGACCUGACUGUACCCCAAAGUACAAGGCAACAGAGGCUGAGACUCGCCGCUCUACAAGGGAGCCCAGCCUGGCUUUGCUGCCCUACAGAAUCCAAAAAGCAUAACUGUGUUUCUAUACCCGGAGGAAGGCUCCAGGUAACUAGGAGGGGCAAGAGUACCCGGCAGCUGUAAGAUAUGACAGUGCCCAGUAGAAAAGGUUUCAUGGUGGGCCUGACCACAACGGCAAAGCACAUUCAGAGGUAUGGAGGCCUCAGAGUAGACCUCACUGUAAGGACCACAGCUGUGAAAGUGAAGGAGAUAGACAAGUAGCUCCAGGGUUCAUCCGCGAAAUCCCUUAGAACUUCCGGAAAUAACUCAGCAGGCCUUUGUAAGAGGAGUUGGACAAGAGACCUAUAAUUCCACAUAGAGAUAAAAGCCAGCAAAAUAUAAAUUAUGACUAUUAAUAUCACCUUCCCAUUUUUUAUGCCAGCUUGAUGCAAACAGGUUACAUGACUUAAUAUAUGAACAUAUGUUUCUAUGAACACAAAUGUAAACAUACACACCU